GACGAACGCUGGCGGCGUGCCUAAUACAUGCAAGUCGAGCGGACGAAUCGAAAGCUUGCUUUUGAUUCGUUAGCGGCGGACGGGUGAGUAACACGUGGGCAACCUGCCCUGUAGACGGGGAUAACACCGAGAAAUCGGUGCUAAUACCGGAUAACACGAAAUGCCGCAUGACGUUUCGUUGAAAGACGGCGCAAGCUGUCGCUACAGGAUGGGCCCGCGGCGCAUUAGCUAGUUGGUGAGGUAACGGCUCACCAAGGCGACGAUGCGUAGCCGACCUGAGAGGGUGAUCGGCCACACUGGGACUGAGACACGGCCCAGACUCCUACGGGAGGCAGCAGUAGGGAAUCUUCCGCAAUGGACGAAAGUCUGACGGAGCAACGCCGCGUGAGCGAAGAAGGCCUUCGGGUCGUAAAGCUCUGUUGUUAGGGAAGAACAAGUAACGCAGUAACUGGCGUUACCGUGACGGUACCUAACGAGAAAGCCACGGCUAACUACGUG
rnacentral:rRNA from 1 species